UGCCAGCCGCCGCGGUAAUACGGAGGAUGCAAGCGUUAUCCGGAUUUAUUGGGUUUAAAGGGUGCGCAGGCGGAAAAUUAAGUCAGUGGUGAAAUCCUGCAGCUCAACUGUAGAACUGUCAUUGAUACUGAUUUUCUUGAAUUUAGUUGAGGUGGGCGGAAUGUGUAAUGUAGCGGUGAAAUGCUUAGAUAUUACACAGAACACCGAUUGCGAAGGCAGCUCACUAAGCUGUUACUGACGCUGAGGCACGAAAGCGUGGGGAGCGAACAGGAUUAGAUA
rnacentral:rRNA from 1 species